rnacentral:rRNA from 1 species
UACGUAGGGGGCAAGCGUUGUCCGGAAUCAUUGGGCGUAAAGCGCGUGUAGGCGGUUCAGUAAGUCUGCUGUGAAAGUCCAGGGCUCAACCCUGGGAUGCCGGUGGAAACUGUCAGGCUCGAGUGCCGGAAGAGGCGAGUGGAAUUCCUGGUGUAGCGGUGAAAAUGCGCAGAUAUCAGGAAGAACACCCGUGGCGAAGGCGGCUCUCUGGGACGGUACUGACGCUGAGACGCGAAAGCGUGGGGAGCGAACAGG